CUCUCUCUCUCUCUCUCUCUGUUAUAUGAAUGCAUGUUUAUCUGUGUUGUGCAUUUAGAGCUAAAGGAAUUUCUCUCAACAAACUCAUAUGGAGACCACCACCUCCUCACAAGGCAAAUACAUUGAAUUUGAGGAUAAAGUGAAGAGGACUGUUUUCCUCGACAAUCUUUUACCAAAGGAUACAAUUUCAGUGUUAACAAAGGCACUUGGGCAGUUCGGUAAAGUCAUCUCUAUAGAAUUCUUACCAAACUAUACACAACCAAGGGACAACGAUCAGUGUGCUUUAGUGGAGAUGGAGAAUGAGAAGCAAGCACAAGGCGUAAUCACUGGAUUGUCCGAUUUUCCCUUCAUGAUGACUGGGAUGCCAAGGCCUGUGAGAGCAAGGAUAGCACAGGCUGAGAUGUUUAGCGAUCGGCCAAAUCAUCCAGGUCAAAGCACUAAGUCACGGUGGGUCUCACGCUUUGAACCCAAUUUCAUGGUAGUGAAGAGGCUGAAACAUAUGAUAAGGAGGCAUGAAGCUGAGGCUUCUUUUUUGCUCUAGGUGCCUCCCUUUCAGAUACUCUCAAUAUGGUGGAACAAAUGAAAGAAGAGAAGCAGCUUGCGCAGCACCAAGAGGAGAGACUGAGAGCAUUCUAUAAGAAAUAUGAGAUGAUUGAAGCCAUAAUUUCAGAUGGCUCCGUGAAUCGGCUGGAACGACACUACAAUAUAAGGAUGAAACAUGACUGAGGGAUUUCCUGGUAACUUAUAUCAUAUGCCUUUGAAGUGAUUACUGGUUUUGUGGCCUUCACACACGGUCUCAAGUGGAUUGGGAUCAAACUCAUCAAAGUAUUUGUAUUUAUGGUGCAAUUACAAUGGAAUAUUGUGCAAACAAUUAACAAGAGAAAGGAAACGAAUUUUGUGAAGUAGUAAUAGGAUAGAUGACCUUGGAGUAGUACUCUCAAUGAGAGUGAAAGGUCCACUGUGUUGCAGUCACUACAUUUGCUAUAGAGAGAGAGAGAGAGAGAGAUGCAAUAUGUGCUUUAGCCAGUACAUAAUGGCCAAUGUGACCAUUUGUUUGCACCUGCUCCCCGAACUCCUAUCUUCUAAUUGUUUGUAACUUGGAAGUUUCAU